UGGACGGUCGGCCAAAAUGAUAGGCCUUGUGACUUCUAAUCAGUAGGUCGUUGGUUCGAACCCAACACGGCUCACCA
rnacentral:tRNA from 1 species